rnacentral:RNase_P_RNA from 1 species
GCACCGCGCGGCUGGUAACAGUCCGUGGCACGGUAAACUCCACCCGGAGCAAGGCCAAAUAGGGGUUCAUAAGGUACGGCCCGUACUGAACCCGGGUAGGCUGCUUGAGCCAGUGAGCGAUUGCUGGCCUAGAUGAAUGACUGUCCACGACAGAACCCGGCUUAUCGGUCAGUUUCACCU